rnacentral:rRNA from 1 species
AUUGAACGCUGGCGGCAGGCCUAACACAUGCAAGUCGAGCGGUAGUGAGAAGCUUGCUUCUCUUGAGAGCGGCGGACGGGUGAGUAAUGCCUAGGAAUCUGCCUGGUAGUGGGGGAUAACGUCCGGAAACGGACGCUAAUACCGCAUACGUCCUACGGGAGAAAGUGGGGGCUCUUCGGACCUCACGCUAUCAGAUGAGCCUAGGUCGGAUUAGCUAGUUGGUGAGGUAAUGGCUCACCAAGGCGACGAUCCGUAACUGGUCUGAGAGGAUGAUCAGUCACACUAGAACUGAGACACGGUCCAGACUCCUACGGGAGGCAGCAGUGGGGAAUAUUGGACAAUGGGCGAAAGCCUGAUCCAGCCAUGCCGCGUGUGUGAAGAAGGUCUUCGGAUUGUAAAGCACUUUAAGUUGGGAGGAAGGGUCGUUACCUAAUACGUGGCGAUUUUGACGUUACCGACAGAAUAAGCACCGGCUAACUCUGUGCCAGCAGCCGCGGUAAUAC